rnacentral:tRNA from 1 species
GGGGAUAUAACUCAGUUGGUAGAGUACUUGCUUCACAUGCACAGGCCUUGGGUUCAAUCCCCAAUACCACAA